rnacentral:rRNA from 1 species
UUGCUCCCAUUUCUCAGCGGCGGACGGGUGAGUAACACGUGGGCAACCUGCCCUGCAGACUGGGAUAACUCCGGGAAACCGGAGCUAAUACCGGGUAAUACAUAGCAUCGCAUGAUGCAACGUUGAAAGUUGGCUUUCGAGCUAACACUGUAGGAUGGGCCCGCGGCGCAUUAGCUAGUUGGUAAGGUAACGGCUUACCAAGGCCACGAUGCGUAGCCAACCUGAGAGGGUGAUCGGCCACACUGGGACUGAGACACGGCCCAAACUCCUACGGGAGGCAGCAGUAGGGAAUCUUCCGCAAUGGACGAAAGUCUGACGGAGCAACGCCCCGUGAGUGACGAAGGCCUUCGGGUCGUAAAGCUCUGUUGUUAGGGAAGAACAAGUACCGUUCGAAUAGGGCGGUACCUUGACGGUACCUAACCAGAAAGCCACGGCUAACUACGUGCCAGCAGCCGCGGUAAUACGUAGGUGGCAAGCGUUGUCCGGAAUUAUUGGGCGUAAAGCGCGCGCAGGCGGUCUCUUAAGUCUGAUGUGAAAGCCCACGGCUCAACCGUGGAGGGCCAUUGGAAACUGGGGGACUUGAGUGCAAAAAAGGAGAGUGGAAUUCCACGUGUAGCGGUGAAAUGCGUAAAUAUGUGGAGGAACACCAGUGGCGAAGGCGGCUCUCUGGUCUGUAACUGACGCUAAGGCGCGAAAGCGUGGGGAGCGAACAGGAUUAGAUACCCUGGUAGUCCACGCCGUAAACGAUGAGUGCUAGGUGUUGGGGGGGUUCCACCCUCAGUGCUGAA